rnacentral:misc_RNA from 1 species
AUAUAUCAACCUCCUCAAGCUUUUGCUUGUGGAGUGUAUGGAUGUGGGGGGAUUAUUUUGCUGGCCUUGUCAGCUCCCCUGAAAUGCAUUGGCAGAAUGAUUUGCUGACCGUUUAUUGGUGUGAUAACUAUCUACGCUGUCGACGUGAAGCAAGUUCAGCUUAUAAUGGUCCAUUGACUUGGACAACAUAUUUAUUA